CCUGGCCAAGGUCCUCUAGAAAGCCCGCUCUGCGCCCAAACGCGCCGCUCGGUCCGUGGGCCACUUCGGACCUGACGCUGCCGGUGAAUUCACGCGCUCCGGGACGCGCGGGGACCUUUGACGAGGUUUUUGAACUGGGGAUCGUCCCCUGUAACCUGGCCGCGUUACCUCCCCAGGCUCCAGGGACAGACCAGCAAGCCAGCAGACCAGAUGAUGGAUGGUGGAACAACGUGGCAGAGAAAAAGAGAAGAGGAGGAACAUCUGAAUGCCAAGAGAAGUUUGGCUGGGGGCAGUCAGAAAGGAGUCCAGCUGCUGGGUGGCCCAACUCCAGAGGAAGAUCACCUUCCCAUUCCAUCCCCUUCUUCCAGCUCCCCAUCCAUCUCACUGCCACCUCCACCACUCAAUAAAAUCUUGCAUUUAUCCUCAAGCUUGCGUGUGACCUGAUUCUUCCAGGACACUGGGCAAGAGCUCGGGAUAAAGAAGGCUGUCACACUGGCCCUCUGCCUUUGCAAAAAGGCAGAGGGUCCACUGAGCUGAUUAACACUCAAGCUGUCUGCAAUGGCAAAGCUGAAAGAACUUUGUAGCACUGGGGUUGCAGGUACCCACCUCUAGAUACUACUGUGGGGCCAGACCCAAAAGCGCUCUCCCUGGGCCCUGCACAUGCCCAUCUGUAUGCUCCCCCUCUGGCUAGGGAUUUGAGCAGUGAGGUGACCGAACAGGUGAGCCACAACCCUGUCACACAUCCUGCGAGAGGUAUCAGGGAACUCUCCCACUUCAAAAGGAGGAAAAAGAGACUGGAUACUGGCGGAUAGUUGGCAGUUUCUGUCACAAAAACUUUAUGGCAAAUAUACGUGUACAGUGACAAAAAUCUGAGCAAUAGAUACAAUUAGGGUUCUCUAUGUAUUUGUACAUAUUUUGGGGGGGAAUAAAGUGAGAUAGGGAAGCAAUUACGCUUAAUACAGAUGUUGUUAAUUUGGUAUUAAUAUGGAUCUAAAAGCAAGACCCUUUCAUUUAUAUCAACAUGUCAAUACGCCAGUGUAUCAAAGGAGCAUGAGAAUGUCCUGUACUCACUAGAGGAGCAUGGAGGAACACAUGGUUUGGUGAAUAUGAAGUUGUAGGUGUGAGAAAUGCAUGGAAGUCCAGAAUGGAAGCCUUGAUAGUAGCUGGGGCAGAAAGAACAAUGGGACUGACAGUGGGUAAGAGUGAGACACAUGGUGGUAGUUGUUGCAGAAUAGUGGGAGGAGAGGAAGAGCACAAGAGACACUCAGUUACAAUAUAAGCGUGUAGUGUUAGACAUCAAGGGAGACCAUGGAAGAGAGUAAUGUAACCUACAUGGGAGGCAGGGAAAAGCUUGACAGGAACAUUUUACACGUUACAAACAGCAACAACAGCAUGGGCGGGAGUUCUGAAGCACCAAGCUAGAAGAGUGCCAAAGUUGAAAAGGGCUCAGGAAGGGGUUUGUUUCUUUAGCAAAAAGCAGAAAAAGCAAUAGAUAAGAGAAAUGACAGCAGUAGCUGAAUUGGACAUCAACCGCGAUACAGGGAAGGGGGAAGAGAUGAAUUCAGGAUGCCCCAGAGGCAAAAGCAAAUGACCAUUAUGCAUAAAUGUGGGUGCACACUAAUCACCAGGGAAUUCUUUGUCUUUGUGCUGAGUUAGAGGAGCUUUAAAGAUGACUAGAAAACAGCAAGUAGAAGGGGGAGGAGCCAAGAUGGCCGAAUAGGAACAGCUCUGGUCUACAGCUCCCAGCGUGAGCGACGCAGAAGACGGGUGAUUUCUGCAUUUCCAUCUGAGGUACCGGGUUCAUCUCACUAGGGAGUGCCAGACAGUGGGCACAGGUCAGUGGGUGCGCGCCCCAUGCGCAAGCCGAAGCAGGGCGAGGCAUUGCCUCAUUCAGGAAGCGCAAGGGGUCAUGGAGUUCCCUUUCUUAGUCAAAGAAAGUGGUGACAGACGGCACCUGGAAAAUCGGGUCACUCCCACCCGAAUACUGCGAUUUUCCAACGGGCUUAAAAAACGGCACACCAGGAGAUUAUAUCCCACACGUGGCCCACCAGUCAGUCUCACUGAUUGCUAGCACAGGGGUCUGAGAUCAAACUGCAAGGCAGCAGCCAGGCUGGGGGAGGGGCGCCCACCAUUGCCCAGGCUUGCUUAGGUAAACAAAGCAGCCUGGAAGCUCAAACUGGGUGGAGCCCACCACAGCUCAAAGGAAGCCUGCCUUCCUCUGUAGGCUCCACCUCUGGGGGCAGGGCACAGACAAACAAAAAGACAGCAGUAACCUCUGC
rnacentral:lncRNA from 1 species